rnacentral:lncRNA from 1 species
AUACAAAUGUUUUUAUACAAUUUAUAUUUAAAUCAUGAUAUUAGAAUAUUAUUUGUGAUCAUAAUAACAAAGUGAACCGCGAAUGUUAAGAUAUUUUCAUAAUAAAGAAAACUAAAUCAUAAAAUGUUUACUAUAGUUGGUUUGUUUACCAGUCAUUUUGUUAGGAUGGCUAAGAAAUUAUUUCUAAAACCAAAAUUUUGAGUGUAACAUGCAUGAAAUAUCUAGUAAAGUUAUAACAAGCACAUUUUUGAGUUUUAUCUUUAUUUUUUUAUCUUAGUGCUUAUACUAUGAUAAAAAACUUUAUGCAAACAACAACAACAAAUAAAAGCAAUAGGAGCAACAUUUAUUUUCCUCAAAAUUUACUAUCAUAUAAUUACAAUAAUAUAAUAAUAACAGUAAUAAUAAUAAAAAUAAUAACAAUAAAAAUACCUAUAAUAUCAUAAAUAAUAAAAUCAUAAUAUCAUUAUAUUAUCCAGGUUUAUACAAUUGUAAUUGCUAUCUCUAAAGCUUUGGUGAUGGUUUAUAUUUUUGCCAAUUUAAAAAUCAACCUAUUAUACAUAGGGUAUAUACAAAUGAAAAUACCAUAGUGAAUUCUGGUGUAUUUUUGAAGAACAUUUUUUUUCAAAAAGUUUUAAAGUUUUUGUGUUCAAAAAAGAAAACUAAAGAUUUUUAAAUUAAAGAAAAAUAUGCAUCAUGUUUUCGAUUAUAUUUUUGUGUAUCUUUUUACGUAACAUGGUUUGAUCAAUUUUGACAAUGUUCCCCAUCUAAAUUGGCAGGAAAAAAGUUUAUAAAAAGUAUACAGUUUAAUAGCAAGUUGAGUUAACAAAUCUACUUUUAACGAAGCUUAAAAUUAAAAGUUUAUGUAUAGAUUGUGUAUGUAUAGAUAUAUGUUCUGUUGUUGUUCAUUUACUAUAAACAAGUAUAUGAAUUUGGAAAUGGAAAUUUAGUUCAACGCCAAUAGCAAUUGUGAUAAAGUAAUAAAAGAUCAUUUUAAGUUCAGUCAAGCAAGCACCUGAAAAUGGUCAACUUUUUGUUUAAUAUAGAUUGCUGUUCCAAAUACAAGUUGCAGAUAUGAUCCAAUACUUUAUGCUAAGCAAAGUUCAAAUUUCAAAACAAACAAACUUACUAUCUGUUGAUCUUCUGCUUUGUUUUGAAGUUCUAUGAGUUCAGAUAGAUAUCUGUUUUGUUCAAAGCAGAUCAGCCAACCAUAUAAAGGACAGAUAAAACUGACCCUCAUCUCAGACUUAAGGGUCAAUUAAUGCAAUUUUUCAAAAGCUUUUUAUGAAGUAUGCAACCCUGAUGUCUUGAUGGGCACAAUCACAUUUGUACGAUCCUAGUAAUGGUCCUCGUUUUGUCUGCGGUUGUUUUUUACGUAUAAUGCAAUAUUUGUUUUAGCUCUUGUUUAUAUUUAAAUUAAGUUUGUAUGGUGUGGUUCAGCUGUUCGUCACAAUUUAUCUUCUAUAUAAUAAAGUUUUAAAAAAUGCUUUGUAAAAAUAUUAUUUUACAUUUAAUUUAUUUUUAGAUGGUUUAAUGAAAUUAUUUGUUUUAUAAAAACAUA